UACGUAGGUGGCUAGCGUUGCUCGGAAUCACUGGGCGUAAAGGGUGCGUAGGCGGGUCUUUUAAGUCAGGGGGUGAAAUCCUGGAGCUCAACUCCAGAACUGCCUUUGAUACUGAAGAUCUUGAGUUCGGGAGAGGUGAGUGGAACUGCGAGUGUAGAGGUGAAAUUCGUAGAUAUUCGCAAGAACACCAGUGGCGAAGGCGGCUCACUGGCCCGGUACUGACGCUGAGGUGCGAAAGCGUGGGGAGCAAACAGGG
rnacentral:rRNA from 1 species